rnacentral:tRNA from 1 species
GCCCCCGUAGCUCAACUGGAUAGAGCUGCUCCGUCCUAAGGAGAAGGUUACUGGUUCAAGUCCGGUCGGGGGCGCCA